rnacentral:sRNA from 1 species
AUUUGUAUUGUAUACUAGUCCUCUUCAUUCUU